rnacentral:tRNA from 2 species
AAAAAGGUAAGCUAAAUAAGCUAAUGGGUUCAUACCCCAUUCAUAGAGUCACUAACACUCUCCUUUUUA